rnacentral:rRNA from 1 species
UACGGAGGAGGCAAGCGUUAUCCGGAAUUAUUGGGCGUAAAGCGUCCGCAGGUGGCACCUCAAGUCUGCUGUCAAAGACCGGGCUUAACCCCAGAAAGGCAGUGGAAACUGAAGUGCUAGAGUGCAGUAGGGGUAGAGGGAAUUCCCGGUGUAGCGGUGAAAUGCGUAGAGAUCGGGAAGAACAUCGGUGGCGAAAGCGCUCUGCUGGACUGCAACUGACACUCAGGGACGAAGCUAGGGGAGCGAAUGGG